AUUGCAGGUCUUUGCCAUGACCUGGGACAUGGGCCAUUUUCCCAUCUGUUUGAUGGAAUGUUCCUCCCCAAAGCAGGUAAAAAGUGCGAGCAUGAGAAGAAUU